GAGAACGCUGGCGGUGUGUCUAACACAUGCAAGUCGAGCGCCCCUUCGGGGGAGCGGCAGACGGGUGAGUAACGCGUAGGUCAUCUGCCCUUAUCCCUGACAUAACAUCGAGAAAUCGAUGCUAAUAUCAGAUGAGGUAGCAAUAUCAAAGGUUUCGGCUGGAUAAGGAUGAGCCUGCGUCUGAUUAGCUUGUUGGCGGUGUAAAAGACCACCAAGGCGACUAUCAGUAACUGGUCUGAGAGGACGAUCAGUCACAUUGGAACUGAGACACGGUCCAGACUCCUACGGGAGGCAGCAGUGAGGAAUAUUGGUCAAUGGGGGAAACCCUGAACCAGCGACGCCGCGUGCGGGAUGAAUGGGCUUUGCCCUGUAAACCGCUGUCAGAGGGGAAGAAAAGCCGGGUCGCCCGGCUGGGACUGUACCCUCAGAGGAAGGUUCGGCUAACUACGUGCCAGCAGCCGCGGUAA
rnacentral:rRNA from 1 species